CCUACGGGAGACAGCAGUGAGGAAUAUUGGUCAAUGGCCGAGAGUCUGAACCAGCCAAGUAGCGUGAAGGAUGAAUGCCCUAUGGUUUGUAAACUUCUUUUAUAUGGGAAUAAAAUGAUCCACGUGUGGGAUUUUGUAUGUACCAUAUGAAUAAGGAUCGGCUAACUCCGUGCCAGCAGCCGCGGUAAUACGGAGGAUCCGAGCGUUAUCCGGAUUUAUUGGGUUUAAAGGGAGCGUAGGUGGUUUGUUAAGUCAGUGGUGAAAGUUUGCGGCUCAACCAUAAAAUUGCAGUUGAAACUGGAAGACUUGAGUACGUUAGAGGUAGGCGGAAUGCGUGGUGUAGCGGUGAAAUGCAUAGAUAUCACGCAGAACUCCGAUUGCGAAGGCAGCUCACUAAGCCACAACUGACACUGAAGCUCGAAAGUGUGGGGAUCAAACAGGAUUAGAUACCCUUGUAGUC
rnacentral:rRNA from 1 species